rnacentral:rRNA from 1 species
AACGAACGCUGGCGGCAUGCCUAACACAUGCAAGUCGAACGAGACCUUCGGGUCUAGUGGCGCACGGGUGCGUAACGCGUGGGAAUCUGCCCUUAGGUUCGGAAUAAACUUCGGGAAACUGAAGCUAAUACCGGAUGAUGACGUAAGUCCAAAGAUUUAUCGCCUAAGGAUGAGCCCGCGUUGGAUUAGCUAGUUGGUGAGGUAACGGCUUACCAAGGCUACGAUGGGUAGGGGUCCUGAGAGGGAGAUCCCCCACACUGGUACUGAGACACGGACCAGACUCCUACGGGAGGCAGCAGUGAGGAAUAUUGGACAAUGGGCGCAAGCCUGAUCCAGCCAUGCCGCGUGCAGGAAGAAGCAUCUAUGGUGUGUAAACUGCUUUUUGACGGGAAGAAACACUCCUACGUGUAGGAGCUUGACGGUACGUAAGAAUAAGGAUCGGACUAACUCCGUGCCAGCAGCCGCGG